CCUACGGGCGGCAGCAGUGGGGAAUAUUGGACAAUGGGGGCAACCCUGAUCCAGCCAUGCCGCGUGUGUGAAGAAGGCCCUCGGGUUGUAAAGCACUUUCAGUGAGGAAGAACGCCUGGUGGUUAAUACCCAUCAGGAAAGACAUCACUCACAGAAGAAGCACCGGCUAACUCCGUGCCAGCAGCCGCGGUAAUACGGAGGGUGCGAGCGUUAAUCGGAAUUACUGGGCGUAAAGCGCGCGUCGGUGGCUUGAUAAGCCGGUUGUGAAAGCCCCGGGCUCAACCUGGGAACGGCAUCCGGAACUGUCAAGCUAGAGUGCAGGAGAGGAAGGUAGAAUUCCCGGUGUAGCGGUGAAAUGCGUAGAGAUCGGGAGGAAUACCAGUGGCGAAGGCGGCCUUCUGGACUGACACUGACACUGAGGUGCGAAAGCGUGGGUAGCAAACAGGAUUAGAUACCCCUGUAGUC
rnacentral:rRNA from 1 species